AUUGAACGCUGGCGGCAGGCUUAACACAUGCAAGUCGAACGAGUGGCGGACGGGUGAGUAAUGCCUAGGAAUCUGCCUGGUAGUGGGGGAUAACGUCCGGAAACGGGCGCUAAUACCGCAUACUAUCAGAUGAGCCUAGGUCGGAUUAGGUAGUUGGUGGGGUAAUGGCCUACCAAGCCGACGAUCUCUAGCUGGUCUGAGAGGAUGACCAGCCACACCGGGACUGAGACACGGCCCGGACUCCUACGGGAGGCAGCAGUGGGGAAUAUUGCGCAAUGGGGGCAACCUGACGCAGCCAUGCCGCGUGAAUGAAGAAGGCCUUCGGGUUGUAAAGUUCUUUCGGUGACGAGGCGUUAAUCACAGAAGAAGCACCGGCUAACUCCGUGCCAGCAGCCGCGGUAAUUC
rnacentral:rRNA from 1 species